rnacentral:rRNA from 1 species
UACGUAGGGGGCAAGCGUUGUCCGGAUUUAUUGGGCGUAAAGAGCGCGCAGGCGGUAUGACAAGUCAGAUGUGAAAGAGGCCGGCUUAACCGGCAAGGGUCAUUUGAAACUGUCAGACUAGAGUGCAGCAGAGGAUAGUGGAAUUCCCGGUGUAGUGGUGAAAUGCGUAGAUAUCGGGAGGAACACCUGUGGCGAAAGCGGCUCACUGGACCAUUACUGACGCUGAGGCACGAAAGCUAGGGGAGCAAACAGG